UUCUCUUACCCAUUCGACACUUCAACUUGAUGAAUCUAGUUUUGUUUUCUUCAGCCUUUGGCCCAUCAGUUUCCCACUAAAUAGCUAGGGACCCAAGUCGAUCAAAUGCUUUGACAAGUCUGGAACGGACUAACCCUAUGGUCCUCAUUAUUUUCCAAAGCAAAUGAUACCUUGCAGGUCUUGAUUUCUUUCUUAAGAGUAUGCCGACAGAUCUUCAGACGAGAAAGAGUCUUGGUCUGCUACAGCUGGAAAUGCCGAGAAACCAUUGUGGAGAAGGAUUUGUUUAGGUGGCAUCAUUUGUAGG
rnacentral:lncRNA from 1 species